rnacentral:rRNA from 1 species
UGGAGCAUGUGGUUAAUUCGAAGCAACGCGAAGAACCUUACCAGGUCUUGACAUCCCGAUGCUAUUUCUAGAGAUAGAAGUUACUUCGGUACAUCGGUGACAGGUGGUGCAUGGUUGUCGUCAGCUCGUGUCGUGAGAUGUUGGGUUAAGUCCCGCAACGAGCGCAACCCCUAUUGUUAGUUGCCAUCAUUCAGUUGGGCACUCCAGCGAGACUGCCGGUAAUAAACCGGAGGAAGUGGGGAUGACGUCAAAUCAUCAUGCCCCUUAUGACCUGGGCUACACACGUGCUACAAUGGUUGGUACAACGAGUUGCGAGUCGGUGACGGCGAGCUAAUCUCUUAAAGCCAAUCUCAGUUCGGAUUGUAGGCUGCAACUCGCCUACAUGAAGUCGGAAUCGCUAGUAAUCGCGGAUCAGCACGCCGCGGUGAAUACGUUCCCGGGCCUU